rnacentral:lncRNA from 1 species
UCCCAGAACACAUGAAAGUUCAGAAAAUUUGUUUUAAAGCAAUCUAAGUCUUCUGAACUUAUUCUAAUUAUGCAUCUUCACCACAAAUGAUCUUUUCUUCAUACCUUAGGUGUCGAUCUUUCCGAAUGAGUCUUCGUCCUCCAAUUUGAAUCUCUUCUCAAAAACUUCUGCGAUCAACCCUUCAAGACUCCAAACAACUUUACGAAAUUCGCCAACCUAUAAAAUCCUUAACAAUCUCCCCCUUUGGCGAUUUCGUGACAAAAUAUACUACAAAGCUCGUAUACAACUAGUAAAUCAUAAAAAGAAGAUCAUCGCAAUCACCAAACGAUAAUCUCCUGCAUGAUCAAUCCAAAAAAAAAACGAAAUUUACACUUUUACACCCUUAAUACAAACUCUAUGACUUAGACACGGAAUCUUGAAGUCUUGAAUUAUUCCUGCAAAAACAUUCUCAAAGCAUAAUCAAGAUUCAAGUAUCAAGAUCAAACAAACUAUCAAGUCAUAGUUCAUAAUUCAUAGUUCAUAGUCACAAACACCUAAAGCACUAAGUCAGAAACCUAAAGCAUCAUAGUUCAAAAUUAAACAUCUUAACUAACUAAUGCAUAAACAUCUUAACUAACUAAUGCAUCAUCAUCAUCAUUAAGACCAUCCAUUAUCUCCCCCUUUUUGUCAGAAAGCGCCAAAACGACAAAAAGAGAAGCCCGGUAACUCCUAGUCAGAAUC